AGCGAACGCUAGCGGCAAGCCUAAUACAUGCAAGUCGAACGGUGUAGCAAUACACAGUGGCGCACGGGUGCGUAACACGUAUGCAACCUACCUUACAUUGGGGGAUAGCCUUUCGAAAGGGAGAUUAAUACCGCAUAAGACAGUAACUAGGCAUCUAGUAGCUGUUAAAGAUUUAUCGAUGUAAGCUGGGCAUGCGUCCAAUUAGUUAGUUGGCGAGGGAAUGGCUCACCAAGACGAUGAUUGGUAGGGGAACUGAGAGGUCAAUCCCCCACACUGGCACUGAGAUACGGGCCAGACUCCUACGGGAGGCAGCAGUAGGGAAUAUUGGGCAAUGGGCGCAAGCCUGACCCAGCCAUGCCGCGUGCAGGAAGAAGGCGUUAUGCGUUGUAAACUGCUUUUAUACAGGAAGAAACGACCCUUGCGAGGGGCAUUGACGGUACUGUAUGAAUAAGCACCGGCUAACUCCGUGCCAGCAGCCGCAGUAACAC
rnacentral:rRNA from 1 species